GGUGGUUCUCAGGUGACACACUCCAGAAUUGGACUCCCUUCUCUCUGGUUCUGGGUCCAUCACCCAAGAACUGCU
rfam:Myotis brandtii contig246114, whole genome shotgun sequence.